rnacentral:rRNA from 2 species
UGGGGAAUAUUGCACAAUGGGCGCAAGCCUGAUGCAGCCAUGCCGCGUGUAUGAAGAAGGCCUUCGGGUUGUAAAGUACUUUCAGCGGGGAGGAAGGGAGUAAAGUUAAUACCUUUGCUCAUUGACGUUACCCGCAGAAGAAGCACCGGCUAACUCCGUGCCAGCAGCCGCGGUAAUACGGAGGGUGCAAGCGUUAAUCGGAAUUACUGGGCGUAAAGCGCACGCAGGCGGUUUGUUAAGUCAGAUGUGAAAUCCCCGGGCUCAACCUGGGAACUGCAUCUGAUACUGGCAAGCUUGAGUCUCGUAGAGGGGGGUAGAAUUCCAGGUGUAGCGGUGAAAUGCGUAGAGAUCUGGAGGAAUACCGGUGGCGAAGGCGGCCCCCUGGACGAAGACUGACGCUCAGGUGCUAAAGCGUGGGGAGCAAACAGG